AGCGAACGCUGGCGGCAGGCCUAACACAUGCAAGUCGAACGAAGCCUUCGGGCUUAGUGGCGGACGGGUGAGUAACACGUGGGAACGUACCUUUUGGUUCGGAACAACUCAGGGAAACUUGAGCUAAUACCGGAUGAGCCCUUAGGGGGAAAGAUUUAUCGCCGAAAGAGCGGCCCGCGUUAGAUUAGCUAGUUGGUGAGGUAGAGGCUCACCAAGGCAACGAUCUAUAGCUGGUCUGAGAGGAUGAUCAGCCACACUGGGACUGAGACACGGCCCAGACUCCUACGGGAGGCAGCAGUGGGGAAUCUUGCGCAAUGGGCGAAAGCUUGACGCAGCCAUGCCGCGUGAAUGAUGAAGGUCUUAGGAUUGUAAAAUUCUUUUACCAGGGACGAUAAUGACGGUACCUGGAGAAAAAGCCCCGGCUAACUUCGUGCCAGCCGCCGCCGUAAAAC
rnacentral:rRNA from 1 species